UCUUUGUUCCUUGGGAGUUCAUUAGUUCCUGCUGGUUGUUCACCACCUGAAAUCAUAAUCAUCUGUUUGUGACAUCACAAUUAGUUACUGUGAAAAUGAUUAGUGUGUCACAAACAGAUGAUUAUGAUUUCAGAUGGUGAACAAACAGCAGGAGCAGAUGGACUCCUAAGGAACAAAGU